rnacentral:rRNA from 1 species
AGAAUCAACGCUGGCGGCGUGCCUAACACAUGCAAGUCGAACGAGAAAGUGGAGCAAUCCAUGAGUAAAGUGGCGACCGGGUGAGUAACACGUGACUAACCUACCUUCAGGUGGGGGAUAACCUCGGGAAACCGGGGCUAAUACCGCAUAACAUCUUUGGAGUGGAAAUUCUGGAGAUCAAAGGAGCAAUUCGCUUAAGGAGGGGGUCGCGGCAGAUUAGUUAGUUGGCGGGGUAAUGGCCCACCAAGACGGUGAUCUGUA